rnacentral:rRNA from 1 species
GACGAACGCUGGCGGCGUGCUUAACACAUGCAAGUCGAACGGAAAGGCCCUGCUUUUGUGGGGUGCUCGAGUGGCGAACGGGUGAGUAACACGUGAGUAACCUGCCCUUGACUUUGGGAUAACUUCAGGAAACUGGGGCUAAUACCGGAUAGGAGCUCCUGCUGCAUGGUGGGGGUUGGAAAGUUUCGGCGGUUGGGGAUGGACUCGCGGCUUAUCAGCUUGUUGGUGGGGUAGUGGCUUACCAAGGCUUUGACGGGUAGCCGCCCUGAGAGGGUGACCGGCCACAUUGGGACUGGGAUACGGCCCAGACUCCUACGGGAGGCAGCAGUGGGGAAUAUUGCACAAUGGGCGGAAGCCUGAUGCAGCAACGCCGCGUGCGGGAUGACGGCCUUCGGGUUGUAAACCGCUUUCGCCUGUGACGAAGCGUGAGUGACGGUAAUGGGUAAAGAAGCACCGGCUAACUACGUG